GAGGAAUCGAACCCGGGUCACCUGUGCCAAAGGUGAAGUCUUACACCAUUCGGCCACCCUGGCGUGUCCGGUGAUGUAGAUAAGUGUCAACGUGUAGUGUCGUGAAUGUCUCCCAGUGCCGCCCCCCCCUCCAACGCGAGGCGCUCAAGUGCCUUUUUUUUUAAGAUCACUAUAUAUGGCUCUGAUGUUGCCUCAUUGGAAAGGGGUUGCUCAGAACAUCACACAAACACGACAACUAAUUGGACUUUUAUUUGCCACAUGAACAGACUUCAGGACUGUAUUAGUAUUUUACUAUUAUUAUUGUUUUUUGUUUUGUUUUUGUUUCUUUUCUUCCUCUGACUGUAAAGGUUUCCGUUCGAUGCGGUAAAGUCAAUGUCGUGAGGAGAACCCGGAACCAACAUUAUGGCGUCCGUUGGCCCGGACGGAUUUUGUUGUCGUACACAAAACAAAUCGGGCUGAAUUCAGCUGCACGUUUGGACGCGGAACUUACAAUUUUUGGCAAAAAAGACUCAUAAAACCAUGGCUGUUUCUCUCACUUGACGCUGGAAUUGAUGUUGGGGAUCGAGGAGGUUUUGAGCGGACACGCAGCCGACAGACGCAAAGUUGUGGGACACGUGGACGGCUCUGCGCUACGAUGACGAGGACAACCUGCUUUUGGACAGCUUACAUGUUGGAUGACGAUGGUCUCCUUGUCGCUGCCUGGUGAAGUCGUCGGCCAGUGGGAAGAGAUUGCAGACCUAAGACAAAAUGUCAACUUGUGCUGCAAAUGUUUUUUGACAUGAGGUGAAACUCACCAGUGACGAAAAGGGUGUGAAAUUUGUUUUCUGGGACUGUCAAGUGCUCGCACAUCUGCAU